CAUAGAGAGGGUGGGGACACCGGGGGACGUUCGGGGGGCGGGGUGUGUGUGUGUGUUCCCGCGGGGCUGCGGCGACAGCUCCUGCGUGGGGCUGUAGAGGGAGAGGAGUCCUGAAGGGCUGAGGGCAGGCGGGGAAGGGGAUGGCGGGCGGUCUGAGGCCGUGAGGAGUGGGGGGGGAUAGAGUGGCGCUACCAUAGAGAGGAGCGGAGCGCCCUGCCCGCCCCUCGGCACAGCGCGGGAACAGCGCGGCGAACCUGGGCCUGGAGCGGCAGUGGGACGGGAGGGGGAUGGUUUGAUGUGGGCCUGGGGGGGUCCCUGAUAGCUCAGGGGGAUAAAUCCCCUGGGGCAGGCGGCUGUGCUGCACCUCGGAGGGCUCUGUGGGUAGAGAGGUCUCCUGCUUGCCUGAGAGCGUCCCUGCGGGAGAAGGCACGAAGCGUGCCACAGACUGCACGAAUAUAGCAUGUAAUCAUCUCAUAAAGAGCCUUAUUUGUAAUGCGGGAGGGCCUGAGACAGCAUCUGGGCAGGCUACGGUUCAGUUGCACAAGGAGAAGUGCAGGAAAGAUGCAGACCUGUUGGAGGGUCACAGAAAUGAUCCCAGGGCUGGAACACCUCCCAGCGGGGACAGGCUGAGAGCUGGGGCUGUGCAGCUGGAGAGGGCUCUGAGGAGACAUACAGCAGCCUGUCAGUAUCUCAAGGGGCUGUAGGAAAGAAAGGGACAGACUCUUUAGCAGGGUCUGUUGUGAUGAGAUGAGAGGAAAUGGUUUCAAACUAAAAGAGGGGAGAUUUAGAGUGGAUGGAACACAAGGAAGAUGUUUUUAUGAGAAGUGAGGCACUGGCAGAGAGUGCUCAGAGGUGCAGUGGAUGCCCCAUCCCUGCAGACCUCCAAGGUCAGGCUGGAUGGGGCUCUGAGCGCCUGAUGGAGCUCUAGAUGUCCCCAUUCAUUGCAGGGAGUGGGACUAGAUGACCUUUAAAGGUCCCUUCCAACUCAAAUGAUUCUAUGAAAAAGGUCAUGUCAGGUGUGAUCAGAAACUUGAGUAAUCCUGCAAUCAGUGGUUUGAUUAGUUAUGAACAUUCAUAAGUGGGGAAAUUGAAUACAUGAAACGCUGGAGAAUGGAAAUGUAUGAAAUAAUGCAUGAAGUGAGCCCGCAGCACCUCUAUCAGCCCACAGCCUGGCUCAGUGAUGGAGGUGCUCACAGAGGGUCCUGGGCUCUGCGUACUGCUGUGUUUGGUUCAGCUGUGCUGCAGCAGGAGAUGGCAGAGUUCCCAAUCAGCAGCACCAGUGUGAGAAAUAGAUGUGCUUCCUAUUCUCCUUACCCUGGUAGACUCCUUCAGAAGCGUGAAUGUUGCUGCUCCUGUGCUCACUGCAGCCGAACGGUGCACUUUCAUAUCUGUUUCUUAGCUCUGUAGGCACAUAAAUUCUUGGUCAUUCUGGCAAUUUGUCUCUUUUUCAAGAAUAUGGUUUUCCCUUUGCUGGUAAUUCUUGUUAUGAACUUGUAGUUCUUGUUCAGCAUUAUUCCUGCUGUCUGCGUAGAUGGCUGCAAGGUUCAGCUCUGAAUGUGGCUUUUAAGGGGAUAUGGAAUCACUCUGCUGUCAUCCUGAAAGCUUUAUCCAACCACUAGAUUUCCUUUAGUUCUUCAUACUUCUUUUUCUUUUUUUGUUGUAUCAUAUGGGGCACGUUGUUUACCAUUCUCUCUACAGAUCUGUCCUGAUACUGUAAUUAUAAAGUUGUUUAGCUAUCUGUUUUAGUAAAUGUAUCUGUAGAAAACGUUGGAUGUUAUGAUUGUCUUCCUAUAAUGUUACUAGAUGUAUUUCCCAAGCUACUAAGUUUGUUUGGAGAUGAAAAUUAGAUGCAAAAUAGAAAUAUAAGCACCUCCAUUCUGUAAUCUUGCCAUAAUUUUCUCUCUCAUCAAUGUAGUAUCAGUAAUUAAUGCUCCUAGAAACGUACACUUUCUUUGUUGCUAUGGGUUUAUCCAAGAUCUCAGCUAAUCACAGAAUUAUUGUUGCUGUUAUCCUAGUUUUCUUUCAAGUCCCCAGCUGCCUGGUGUGUGAUACUCUGUCUUUUCUGCAACUGGCAAGUCAAUAGCAAAGCUAAUCUGUUUUGAUUCAUAUCAUGAGGAUGCCACAGGAGUUGGAACAACUUCAGUUGUGCAAUUGCUGCGCAUUUAUGGCUUCUACUCUGGGAAAGGAAAAUAGCUGAAUGAAGAGGAGAUGAGACAGGUUCUGAGCAAUGAGGCAGGGGACUGUCCACAGUGAGAAUCAAGUGGAGAUAGCCAAGGUUGGUGUGGGGUAACGUGGCUAAGGGAGCGAAUGUGGUGGUGGAGUGAUGUGACUGAACUGUGCAAGCAGGAGGGCUGUGUGUUCUGUGCUUGCUCAGGUCAGCUGCUUUGUGUCCUUGCAGUGAGAGAGUGGAAAGGACGUGGGGAACAAAGGUGAUAAGCCAUGAGGAAUUGCUGCAGGUGCCGGAGUGCCUGACUACAGCUUUUCUGAUAACACAUUUGCCACUGGAACUUCAUUCCCUGUGUGCUGGGACUGUUUCCUCUUGUCUCACAGUGGUCUUUGGACAUCUCCUCUGGGCCAUAUUGAAAGACCUGAGCUGAUUGGAACUGCUGAAUCUGUAGGGAGGAUUUCCACAGAGCUCUGAGUACGGGGACAUGGGAGGUGUGCGAGGAGUGGGGAGGAAAAUUCUAACCCUCCCCCUUCCCUUUGGCAGGCGCUCACCCCCAGCCUGGAAAUGUUCUUGGUGAUGGAGCUGAGACACAUGAAUUUACCGAGGGCAGGAGUGAAAGGCAAUUCGGUGCAGAUUUUGUAACAGAGAGGAGGCAUGGAAGAUGGUUAAUGUGACAACAAUUGCUGAGAAGGUCCCCAGGAGUGAAAUGGAGAACUGCAGACCGUCACAUUGGAGUCUGUACUGAGCAAAUCAGAAGCUCUGGCCUCAAACUGCUCUGGGUGAAGACAGAAGCUGAAGCAAUUACUGAAGCAUUAGUGACUGUCCUGGAAGUUCUUGGAAGGGCAGCAGGAUGGAAUUGGCAAUGCUGUGGCUGAGGGAGGUGGAGGUCGGCAGCCAAGGGCUGGAGCAGAAGCCACAUCUUCGAGUUGCAGCAGCGCAGUUUGAUGCUGUGGUUGUGCCAGGGCUGCUGGGAGAAGAGCUGGGCUGGCUGAGAACUGCAGCCCUCUCAAGCUGGUGGAAGAGCUACAGAGACCCUAUUUGAAGUAGAAAGAACUGGAUUUUGCCUUCAUUUACGCCUCAAGGAGCUGCCACAGGAGGAGGGGCCAGAGUUUGCCAGCUUGCUCUGCUCCCUGCAGCCCUCACUGGGGAGCCGCGCCACAGGAAAUGCUGAGCAGGGAUCAGGCAUGAGUGCUGGGUCGGUUUUGCUCUUGGAAACAGAAGGUGGAGCAAGCCACAGCUGAGACAAGUGUCAGGAUCUGCAAUGAAAGCAGGAUCCAUGCCAAGCAGGAUGGAGGACUACAAGGGGUCACAGCAGAGGGCUGCAUCCAUGGGAGCAUCCUGGAGCCACUGGCCACAUGGUGCUGACAUCCGAGAAGAUUUUUAACGUGAUUUUUCACUGUGCUGUUCACUGCUGACACCACCUUCCUCACUGCAGGUGCAUCUACUGCUUGUGCGAGAUUUUACGCUGUCUCAUUUGGAUUGUAUCUCAAGAAGGAUUUAGAGGAGCUUGCAAGCUGGAGACCUGCUGACUUCCCAAAGCUGUGCUACAGCUCACCAAGUCCCUUGAUCACGGCUUGCAAGGGCCCACAUCCAUCCAUCUGUCUGGAACGGAGUGGCAAAGCCUCCAUGGUCACAUUCACAAUUUGCAAGUUGCUGGGAUUUGCUCUGUUCUCAAGGGGAGCAGUUUGCUGUUGUGCACCAUCUCUAGUCUCUUCAGGGAACUGCCAGCUCUGCAUAUCCUUACAGCAUAUUUCCAUCCAAGAGAGCUUCUCCACAGCUUCCCUGAUCUGUCAGACGCUCAUUAUUUUGUUAUUUCCAUUCUCCUGUGUGAUUGUGCUGGUGGGAAGAGACACUCAGCAAGGCCGAACCCAAGAAUGACAGAGGGAUGUCUGAAGCACAACUUUGAUAUGAACUGAGGACAGUCAUCCCUAGAAACACCUCCCAGCCUCGAUGCCUCAAGGGUCUUCCCAGCUCUGUCAUCACUCAAGGAUGCAGGAAGAAGAUCCUGCAGGGCAUUGUGGAAAGAUCUGCAUCCAGCAGUACUGUUUGGACAGUCGUACUCGGCCAUCGUUUCCCAAAUGUGUGCAUCUUGUGAGGUGCUCAGCUGCUGCUCAGGAUGUCCCCACCAAGGGGAGCAUCCCUCCUUGGGACUCUGAUCUCUGCAGUCCUGAUGCUGAAUUAUUCUGGGAAGGAGUAUCAGGAGAACAAAUUAGUGAGGUGUUCUUACAAGGAAAUCCAGUGGCUACAGAUACCUGCAAGCAACAGGGCCCAGAGACUUGCACUUCCCUAUUCUGAUGUGUGAACCUGAGGUUUGCCAGCAGCUCUUGGUGAGCAGGAAGCCUCCAGCUGUGUUAGCUCUUUUGACAUGGCAAUUGCUCCAAAGGAGUUUCUCCAUCCUCCCUCGCUUUGCCUUAGUUGAAGGCUGACAAGCCCCUGGCCACCAGCCAUUCCAAUACAUCUUGCAGGUAAUCCAUAGUUUCCUGGGUCAGAGCAGAAUCUCAGCAGCCAUCCUCUGCCCUUAAAGUCAGUCCCCUUUGCUGAUUGGGAUAUGUUUGCAGCACAAUCUAGUGUUCUGUCCUGGGUGAAGUCAGCCAACUUUACACUCUCAAAGUCUUCAUCCGAAGCAGAAAUAACGCAGCAAAUGGACAUCGUACUCAACCAAGAAGUAGUUGACAAUAUCAAGACUUGGAGGAAUUAAAGUAAAUGGCCAAAGUAAUUUUUUGGCAGAGGACUCAAUUUCAAAGGACAAUACACUGUCCAUUCUUCCCAGGGCAUAUUCUGGGAUAGAUCUGCAAGAGUAAUCUACAGUCAUCUUCAGCCAUCCCCCACUGCCCACAGCAAAGACUUUCUGACCAAAACUUCAGGUAGAACGUAGCAGCUCAACGUGCUCAAGAUAUAUCACCCAAAGGACUGACACCACCGGUAGGACGAAAAGAAUGAUGUGUUCAGGUUAGACUUCAUGCCCACAGGCAGCUGGUUUAUCCUCAUGGGACAAGUCCUGCAUUGCCCAGGAAACACACUGUGCCAAUCCAUCGUGGAUGCCAGAACACAUCCAUGCAUGGAUCCUGAAGACUAACCCUGUCCCCUUCUCCAGGUGCACGGGAACUUUGGCCACACACACGUACAGACCAGCCAGGUACUGCAGGAAGCAGCAGGAUGAUAGAUUGCAGCUGCAAGCUGAGAGGUACAGGCACAAAACCCAUUUUUAUCUCUGCAAGGUUCAACCAUUUGGCUCUGUCUGAGGCUUGAAUCUAGGUUCUCUUGCCUGGCAGUCAGGGAUGCUGGAAAAGGCUCAACAUUAAGCCUCAGGAAUGGGGGCUCAGGUUCUGUUCCUCAGCUUAGGGCAGUGCUGGUAAAGAUCUCCCCUCACCCAGGCGCCUGGGAAGCUUUUGGCUGCUGCUGGCAUUGGCGCAGAAAGCAAGAAGACAUUUACUUCCAGGAACAGAUGCAAACACAGGGAAUUGCCAAUUGGCCAAAAUCAAAUACAACCUGACCUCUGAUGAUCUGGAGCCUCACUACUUUCAAACAAAACUGCACUCAAUGUUGGCAAUAUAAUAGUUUACCUUGGAGACUCAAGGGCUAAAGGAGAAAUGAAACCUGAAGCUGCUGGAGAUGUUGCUUUCCCACUGUUUCUAUUACUGAUAACAGGCCAGCAAAACCCCAUGAGGUCCUUGAGCUCAAGGAGAGCCUGCUUGCACCUUCUUCCCAGGGCUUUGUGCCAAAGUACCCCAAAACUUCAGAGCUGGGUUUUAUCAGAACACCCGAACUUCUUUAAAUAUAGAAAGUAGAGAAUGAGCUGGAAUAGCAAUGUUCUACCCUGGUAGGAAAAUCCUUUCUUUUGGGUUUCCUUUCAGCCCUGCAACCUCCCAGCUAUCCCCUGGAUCAUCAUAAAGCCUUGCUGCCCCCAGAAAAGCCCCUUUCUUUCCUUUGAAGGGGAGCUGACACCCACAGGGAACAAACCCUAAGUCAGAAAUAAUGGGAGUCCUUUGAAAAACAAAACCAAAAACAUCCGAGUCUGAAUAUAACCACAAGGAAAAAAAUGGAAACUUAUCUGCAGUAUGCACCCCCUCCCAACCAAAUUAAUACCCUGGACCAGAGCCUUGUCCAGAAGCAGUGUAAAUAUCUCAGCAACUCAUUACCUUGUUAAUUGGAUCACUCCAAGCUUUUUGGAACCAGUCUGAAGCACAGGCAAAUCCAUUAAAAAAUGGAUUUCUUAUUUCUUUAUAGCUGUCUCUAGCUUUAGUCCUUUUUCUAUUAAAUAUUGGCUUGAGUAGCUUCUCCCUUUACCUCAACUCUUUCCCAGCAAGGCAUUUCCUACAUUUUUGAUGUCUGCCCCUCUUCCUGCCCCAGAAGUGCUGUGUGGGUGCUGGUAGGGUAUGCUGGGAGCAAUAACCCUCCUCCUGCCAAACUGCCUCUCCUCAUCCUGUUCCCACAUCCUGGGAUCUCCCUCAUUUGGAUGCUCCAACCCCAGCACAUAGGAGAAAUGCAUCUAGGGGAAUCCUGAGCUGCACUUUGCACUUAUUGCCUAAGAACCUAAAGGUGUGUGGGAGGGAACCAACACAUUGCUUCCAUCCCCUGUACAAACCUUCCACUUACCAAGGCAUCCACAUGCUUGCCUGCUGAUUAAGAGCACUAGGGCCACCGUGUGAGAUUGGACACGACAGCAGCAUAAGGGGAGCCAUAUGCUCCACCAGGAGAGGAGCAUACAGUGAUUAGGAGAGGGGCUGGUGCCCAGGGCCGUGGCUGAGGCUACAGAGAUGUGGAUGGAUGCUGCAGAGAUGUGGACCCUAAUGCCUCACAGCUCAGCCUUUCCUACCCUCAAGACCUCACUGCGGGCAGCACAAGGAUGUGGCAUCCAUGCACCUCCCAUUUUUGCACAGAGGGAACCCCUCCAUUUGUUUUUCCAGGACCUAGCAGCCCAGCCUUCUCCUUGCCCUAUGAAAAAAUCACUUGGCCUCCCUGCAGCAUCAGCAGCGCUGGGUGAUGGGACCCAGGGUUCCUGCUUCAGGCAUCCUCAAACUGCCACCAUGUCCCUAAGGCAGAGCACAGCCAGGGCCAGGCAAAAAGUCCUCCUGCAAUUGUGCUAAAACCUUUUAACAGCCAAGAACCAUUUUCUGCAUGGUGUGUCAAGCAGUAAAGCUGUUGAAUAGACAGGGCCAGGAGCUGGUUUAGAAUGUAGCAGCACAGAAUGCCUUUUUCCCAGCAGCUGUGGUGGUCAGGGAAGUACUUAAGCCCCUUCACUGCUUUUCUGGCAGCACCUUCCCACAUCUGUGGGUCUGCACAGUGAACUGUAUCACUGGCACAGCUGGAGUUAAUUUUGACUUCUGAAAGAGGGAAGGAAGAUUAUGUUUAUAUAUAUGCAUAUAAUAAUGUGUAUUUUUAAACACAGGAAAUCCUGGUCCCUCCCUGGGGCUCAGCCGGAUGGGUCGCAGGGCCAAAGGAAAUGCUCUGCAGCAACGCCCUGCAUGCCAAGCACUUUACCAGGGCAGGUUUUUGCAGCUCUUGGGCUCCUUACGCAGCUCUUGGGCUCCAGCCUGCAAAGCUAGUGUGGUGGGGAUAAACCUCGGUGAAUGUGGUUGGCAUUGUGCUGCUGGAUGCACACCCUGAGGUCUCACCACAUCAAGCCACGUGCUGAUGCUUGGCCAUCCAGCUGCCAAACUGAGGGGAGCACAGAUACAUCCCCACCUCCUUUCACUCACCUCAACACCUCUCCAGUGUCCAGAUAAAGGAAACAGCAGAUAGCGUCCCACUGAGAGCUGGUUCUACCCCUCUCUGUGUCCAGCAGGACAGCAGUAUCACAGCAGAUCACUGUGGUCUCCUCCAGCUGCCUCCACCACAUUCCAGGCCCCUCAAAUCCAGCAGCAUGGAAAAACCUGCAAGAUGACAGAGAGCCCUCUUAUUCCUGUCGUAAUUAAUCCCUUUGGAAUUCAAUUAAUGAGCUCCCUGCUGCAGCUAUCAAGCCUCCAUCAGUUAGGCAAACAGGCGUGCAAGCCAGUCUGGGUCUGUACGAGCACAAGACAAAUAUUUCACCAUGUCCAAAUAGAGCCUGUCCUUCUGCACCCUGUGCAGCUCAGCUUUAAGGUGUUGCCCACUGGUGGGAACUUAAGGGCUCUGUUGGUGAUUGGAAGAACCUGUACCACCCUCUCCCCAUCCUGACCAGAGAGCAUCUGCCAUGGAAAUGGGCUGGGAUAUGCACCAGCGAUGGUGAACAACAGCCAACACUGCUGGUGCUGGAUGAUGCCUUAUUUUUACGGUUUUCUGGCUUUUUCUACAAAUUUAGCUGGGCUGGAAUGUGUGGCCACUGAUGUUCUGAGCUCUCUCCUGGGAUUUUGGAAGUGGAGGAGUUUGAUUCAGGCCACACAUUGCAGGACACCCAAUUUCAACUCCCUGCUGCUGCAGACUCAUCAGCUUCCCAAACAGGCUGGCUCAAAGUGCAGCAGUCCCUGGCUGCUUGUCCACUCCCGGUGCCCACCAGGACCCAACAGCCCCAUGUGUGUGGGGAUGAACAAGCAGCAGCUGCAGCUCCGAUCUGGGGAGCUCAUCCCAGGGGUGCAGGUGAUGGAGCACCCCACUCCCGCUGCAGUGCUGGGAACCACAUGCUCCCACCACGAUGGAUAUUUCCCAUCAGCACACUUUAUUCAAAAUGAAACCCAUUAUGGCAAAGAAAAAAAAAAUCUUUUAAUGAUUGUACUGCAUCAACAUGAAUGAUGUCACAUGUCCGGACUGCCUCGGAAAGCACUAAGUUGCCAAAAGAUGGUGAAUGUGUUCAAUAUGGAGUGAGAGGGACCAGAAGAGAGGCUAAAACUGAAACUUUCCAGCUAUGCUGUUGAUGCAUUUUCUUAUUUUCUUUUGUUGAAUAGUGUGCUCUGUUCUGUUUUAAACACAGUGUUAUUGCAGCGGGGUUCUGUUAGCCCCUCGGGGAUGCAUGGAAGUUAGCAGCACCUGCAUCCCCGCUCCCACCUCUCACUUGCCCAGGAUGACCUGCAGCUUGGGCUUGGUGCAGAUGUAGACCAAGAACCUGGUGGCUCUGUGUAACCUUGUAUCAUGGCUGCAUAUAUAUACAUGCCAUACAAAACCUAUAGCAAAAAGUGAUCUAUCCGUUUAAUUACUGAAUCUUGUGCAAUUCUUGAAAGCAGUGCCCUCACGCACUGGUGGCUUUGCCCUGGGGAAAGUUUGGGGUCUCUCCAGCUGCUCCCACCAUUGCUCGGUGUCACGAUCCAGGACACAGCUAACACAAGAUCCUGAUGAAAUGCAGAUGGCAAUGCCAGAAAGCACUGACGUGAGGCAUGGAUGCCAAGCAGCAAUUUGUUCUCUGUCAAACACAGCCUUCCCAGCCUGGCCAAGCAAGAAGUGCUGCACUACAGAGGUGAAGGCAUUAUUUCUUAAAUAUUCCCUUUUAGAACCCAUAUUUUCACAUUUGCACACUCAUAUUUUGCAGUAGAGGUGGAAUGCAUCGUUCCCCUGGUUAAACAUCAUUUCGUUUGUGUUGCAUCUGGAUUUAUAAUAUAAUGAGGGUCACAGUGACCCUGGUAAUUUUAUGGCUAUUUUGCCAAUAUUCUGCUUGAGUCAUGGCAAUUUGACCUAGAGGAAAAUCCUGAAUGUCCAGAGGAACCCACAGCCUCACAAAUCACAAACCAAACCUUCCUCAUCGCUUCCCACCCACUGCGACCCAACAAAUCAAAAUGUCUCCUGACUUUUUUUGGAGAAUAACAAAGGCAAUAAACUUCUACAUCAAAGGCAAACCCCAGGCUCCCAAACUGCUUUUGGAAAUGCAUCUUUUUUCCAGGCUCAUAAGAAGUACCACGCCACCUCCUUUUUUUCCCCCCCUCAUUCCUGUAAAAUAUUUAGUGCUUUUUCUUCCCAAAUUUAUAAACAAGUUGGCUGAUUGUGCUGAUGAAAACUGGUUUAAAAAUUAAUUGAAAGCCUUUAAAAAUUAAUAAUUAUUUCAGCUAAUUAAGGGUGGCAGCUUAACAUCUUUUAAACUGUUAACAGUUUGGUAACUGCUGUGUGCUUGCUGUUGGAAUAGAAAAUGGUGGGGACUGUGAGCUGAAAAAAUGUUGUCUUCAGUGUUUUAGACCCCGAGCAGGUUUUGGGCCCUUCUGCAUCGUCUGCGUUAUUAUUGGCAGCACUUCCACAUCUAUCAAAAAAUGGAUCUCUACCAUCAUCAUUUUGCUAGAAUUUCUUGUGUUCCAGAUAAUUUAAAAUGCUUUCUUGUUGUCCAUAACACAUUUGGAUACGGAUUUUUUAAAUGGAUACUUUCACUUCUCUCAUCAAUUGUUCUUUAUUUCGUAGCAUCUGAUUUUUAAUCACAACCAUUACCUUCCUCCUUUUCCUGAUUUGUUACUUAUUAUCUGCAGCUUGGCUCGCUCCUCUCGCUUCCAUUUUUUGCCAGGAUUUGUUGUGAUCUUUCCUUUGUGAUCAUCAUAAAUACGCUUGUCAGGAAGGAACCGAAACAAAGAGCAUUUAUAGCUCUGAGAAUUUGAGAGUUUUCUGUUUUCCAAUAAAUCAGUUGGCAGAGCUGUAAAAACGUGCAGCAUGUGUGAGAACUGACUGUUGGGUUUGGCUGUAAGGGCUUCCAACUCUUUAUUGCAGCCGAGUUGGGCAGUUGAUACCCAUGGCAUCUCUUGCAAUUGCAGAGCCCAUCAACAGGGGAUACGAUGGACCUUGGCCCAACCUCAGCACCAAAAACCACCUGGGCGUACCCUACAAUGCAAAAGAGCCUAUAUUUAGAAUCAUGAAAUUGGGGUUGAAAAAGACCACUGAGAUCAUCUAGUCCAACUAUCAGCCUGUCUCACCACGCCUGCUAACCAUGUCCUCAAGUGCCACAUCUCCAUGAUUCUUGAACACCUGCUGGGACGGUUACUCCACCAUUUCGACCCUAAAUCCCACGCUGUGUACUAAAGGCAGCCCUCUGUUUCCAGUUCAGACCUGCUGUGCCAUGUAGACCUUCUGCUCUGAGCUCGCAUUGCAGCUUGGCCCCGCUCUCCCAUCUCGGAAGUUUCCUGAUGGAUUUCUCCACGAAGCUUCAAACCAGAACUAGAGUUAAGAGGAGCCAACAGUCCAUAUGGGGAGGUGCUGCAAAGCCAGCGGGACCCCAAACAUCCCACUGCAUCUCCCUGUGAUGCACUUCCUUAUGCUGCUCAGUUAUUCCGCAGCCCAUCCAGACUCUACAAUGCCCUUUGGCAGAAGUUUAAUUAUGCAAAAUUGUUAUGAAAAAGCAUUUCUUUUGCCUGGUUCACAUGCCCUCCUUCCCACCAGCCGCUUCCAGCCCUCGUCUUUGCCUCCUUCCUCUGCGUCAACCCUUGUUUCUCAUUUCCUCUCUUUGCUUUCCAGUGGAGGGAACAGAUUUGUGAGCAGUAUUUAAGUAGCAGGUGAAUUAUUGAUCUGCUCAAUGACAAAUUGAUCUCUUCUGUUGUGUUUAACACUUUUAUUUUCCUCUAAAAAUUUCCACGCUCAAUUUACUUUUUAGGCCAUCACAGAUCGCUGAGGCGAUGUUUUCAUAACAUGACUGCUAUGCAAGGUCCAAGUUAUCUUUCCUGGGCAGUAACAGCUCAUUGAAGGCUCACGACUAUUUAAAGUACAAAUAGAUGGCUUCAGCCUUGCUCAUCAUUUUGCUCAUUUCCUGGAUUCCCUCUUAUUUUACUGUCCAGAGGCGUUUGGCUGCAGCUUUUCACCAUCGGCUCUGACUACUGAGGUGUUUGGGGCCCCAUUCAGUAUUAUUCCAUUUUGCACAUUCAGGCUCUGAUCCCGCACCUCGACCCUCCCCUGCCCUGCACAGCUCCUGCUGCUGAGGUGAUAGACAAAAGGGGUCAAUUAUGGGAUUUCUAAACCUUAGAAAGCUGCUAAUAAAAAAAGGGCUCUCCGUUAUUGUAGUUUUAAGCUUAAUUUGUCAUCUUGUGCUCUUCUUUAUUUUCCUCAUUUGGACAUGACUUCCACUUUCUGGAGGAUACUAUUUUACCUCUGACAAACUCCUUUAGUCUAUUCUUUAAUGAGAACAGCUAAUUUUUUGCCCUUUUAAAGUCUCUUUUGAUAAUUGUAUAGAUCUGCUCUCGUCAUCUAAUAGAAGAUCUUUAAACAAUGUCUAUGUCCCCUGGAAGAAUUUUACCCUUUUGACAGCUGCUUUUUAAUUCUUUUUAACAAGCCUCACCACUUUAAUGUGGAUCGCCUUUUUGAAAUGAAGUCGCAAUGAACUUUUUCAUUUUUUUCUUUCUUCCUUUUUUUUUUUAAGGGAAAAAAAAAAGAAAAAAAAGUCCUACAAUGCUACUGACUUUAAGUAUGUUAUGGGCACUUCUAGAGAGGCACUUCAAUCACAUUUUAAAUUAGCCCCGUGGCCUGCGCAGGAUUGAAUCUACCAUUGCUUCUCCUGGCUGGCCCAAGAAGGAGCUAUUUUUUUUUCGUGUUGUCCAGACAUUUAACCAUUUUGCUCUGGGAGUAUUCCAAGUCUCUCAGCACAGAGCUGGUUUCCACCCUGUUCAGACAGCUUUCUCCACUCACGCCCCCAGGCAUCACCCAGCCAAUAUGCCGUGCUCAUCCAUCAACCCCAAUGCUUUCAUCCCAACACCUUCCAUCUUUGCAUCUUCAGCACACCCCUCUGCAUACCUGGCCACCAUUGGGAUGCUCCCCAUAGGUCUCACCUCUGCAGGAUGCCCAUAAAGGUAUCCUGGUGGCGGCCCAGGUCUUACCUCUCUUCCAACCGCCUCUUCUGCAGGUCUGGGACCUCUUUGGUGGCAACCCAGAGUUUCCAUUAUUCAUCAUGUGUUAUUCCUGAUAAGAGAGACAGCGUUAAAAAGCAAUUAAAGUCCUCAGGUUGUGCAU